GGUUUCUCUGUGUAGCCUUGGCUGUCCUGGAACUCACUCUGUGGACCAGGCUGUCCCUGAACUCAGAGAUUUGCCUGCCUCUGCCUCCCAAAUGCUGGGAUUAAAGGCGUGUGCUACCACCACCCG
rnacentral:miRNA from 14 species